GACGAACGCUGGCGGCGUGCUUAACACAUGCAAGUCGAACGAUGAACUUGGAGCUUGCUCUGGGGGAUUAGUGGCGAACGGGUGAGUAACACGUGAGUAACCUGCCCUGGACUCUGGGAUAACUUCGAGAAAUCGGAGCUAAUACCGGAUAGGACCUUGCACCGCAUGGUGUGGGGUGGAAAGCUUUUCGGUUUGGGAUGGACUCGCGGCCUAUCAGCUUGUUGGUGAGGUAAUGGCUCACCAAGGCGUCGACGGGUAGCCGGUCUGAGAGGAUGAUCAGCCACAUUGGGACUGAGACACGGCCCAGACUCCUACGGGAGGCAGCAGUGGGGAAUAUUGUACAAUGGGCGCAAGCCUGAUGCAGCAACGCCGCGUGCGGGAUGACGGCCUUCGGGUUGUAAACCGCUUUUAGUAGGGAAGAAGCCUUCGGGUGACGGUACCUGCAGAAAAAGGACCGGCUAACUACGUGCCAGCAGCCGCGGUAACAC
rnacentral:rRNA from 1 species